UGCUGGCGGGGCGGGUGCGGAUCGGCUCGAUCUUCGGCGGCGAGGAACUGACCGUGCCGUCCGACCGCCUGUUCUAUUCAGGCGGCGGCGG
rnacentral:tRNA from 1 species